rnacentral:lncRNA from 1 species
CAACAGCUGAUUGGAAAUAUUACAUGGAAAAUUCCAGAAAUAAACAAUUCAUAAAUUUAAAAUUGCACACUGUCCUGAGUACUGUGAUGAAAUCUUGGUCCACCUUGCCCUGACCUGCUGGGAAUGUGAAUCAUCAGCAUGUCCAUGCUGCCUGAACUGCCCAUUAGUCAAUCGGUAGGUGUCUGGGUUUUCAGACUGACUUAUGAGGCACAGUUCUCCCAGGGCUUGUGUUCAAGUGACCCUUACUUAGUAGCCUGGCACUACACCACCAUCCUGUGUCACUCACCUCACUUCAUCUCAGCACAGGGACUUUGUGUCCAUGUCAUAGCAUCCCAGGAAGAGGAAGGGUGGCCACAGUGCAUCAGAUAUUGAGAGAGAGAGAGAGAGAAACAGAGAGAGACUAGGUUCACGUGACUUUUAUUACAGUAUAUUGUUAUGAUUGUUCUAUUUCAUUAUUAGUCAUUGUUAAUCUCUUGCUGUGCCUAAUUUAUCAAUUAAACUUUAUCAUUGGCCGCUACGUGUACGAAAAAAACAUAGCAGACACAGGGUGGAGACCAUCCAUGAUUCUUCAGGCACCCGCUGGGGGUCUUGGAAGGCAUCUCCCGCAGACAGAGGAGGGGGAAUGCUCUGCAGCAGUCAGAAACCACCAGCUAGAUUUAGUGACAAGAUCUUACAAAUGUAGCGUUGAAUGAAGGAGUGAGACGCACCGUGUGAUACCACUCUUACAUAAUAACAGCCCGAAAAACGAGGUAUCCUCCUGCGACAGGACACAAUUCCAAGGACAUGUGAGUGGGCUGUCACUCCUACAGAUAGGAGUGGGGAGGGAGGAUGAGGAAGAAGGGGAGGUCCUCCACACAGCUGUGACGGGGGGGCGGGGGCAGUGACCUGGAGAGCCCCAGGAACUCUAAACUGCAGCUGGUCAGCCACGAGGGAGCCACAGCCAUUAAAACCCAUUGGGACAGGCUGAGGAACCCAGGCGAGGUGGCUUACGGAUGGGAAAGCUGACACCCUCCACCGACCCCACUCACGAGGCACAAGCAAGACAGAGCGCGCAGGGAGACGUACAGUUUGUCAACUCCCCUUCACUUUGUAGUCUGUCCCUGGGCACAAAAUUAAAAGCAGGCCAACAUUCUCCUUCCUAUUCUAAAAAAGGUUUCUGGGCCAUCUUUCCUCGCUGCUAUUUCCUGGACAUGCUAAUUUUAACAUAACCCUAAGCGACGCCAAAUCAGGGAGCAAAAGCUAUUUAAACACACCAUAAAAUGGCACGGCUUCCAGAAGCUCCGCGGCUUCCUUGGUGUCCUUCCCCUCUGGCCGUGGGCACUGGCUGAUCAGCAAAAGUUACAGAAGGAAUCUUGGAGAAAGGGUCCCUGUGCCUGUCCCUAGACAGUGUGCCAGGAAGCCGAGGGGUUUGAGGGGAUGAUGAACAUGGAUGGAUGAAUCGCCCACCUUUUAAUUAAUUUAUUCAUUUUUCUGUGAUUUCAGCUGAGACUCCCACUGUGCAUGUGAAGCCAUGGCCUGACUGCGGGGCCCUCGGGAGGAGGUGUCCCCAAUCCAGUGCAAGACUGCUGAGGAUUGGUGGACUACCUCACUCCAUGGCCAAGCAAAGGCGUCCGCGGUGGAGACCCUGCUUGGUUUUGCUCUCCACACUGGACAAGAAGAGUGUCGGGUUGGGGACUGGAAGUUGCUAGAGUGGGCUCUGCCUGUAGCCCCCUAUUUGAGGCUUUUGUGUAUUAAACAGGAACCAUCAGGCCAGUCCUGCCUGGCCAGGGUGAUUUGUGAAGUUCAACCUGCAGAGUGCUUCCCACACUGUAAAGUGCCUUUGGCUAUCGAGAAUGAUCAGGCCUGGGUGUGGAACCAAACGCUCUCCGAACCUCCCAGGUGUGGGUCCUUGUAGGAUGGGGAAUUAUGUUUGGUAUAUUUCAGCUGUAGGACGUCAAAGGACUGGUCCCAGAUGACCCCCUGUCAGCAAGAAAACCCAGUCCUGAUACCCCUUUUAUUGCUUCUUAGGAGAAGUAAUUUGGGGGCAUAGGGGAGACGCUUUGAGAUCAGAAAGGUGAGCCCAUGGCUGUGCUGUCACUGGUCUAAGUCAAGGCCUCCAUCUCCUCCUGUGACUUUGAGUGAAGGUCACAGGGCUCCUCACCUAAAAAACGCCACAUGCCUGCCACCCUCCCCUCAGUUAUUCUGCAAGGAUUGUUAGGAUCCAAUUAUGUCCUGAGUUCAUCUCAAAGUCCUAGAGAAACACCUGGCUUUCUUGUCGCACAUCUUUAUCCAAUUUGUCUUUGACGCUCACUAGCUUUUAAAACACCUUCCCACAGUUUCCACAGAACACUUUCAAGUCCAUGCCUUUGAAAGGCAAAAGCCUUCUGUCUCUUCAAGGCUGGAACCUCAAGUAAGCCAGGGGCUGAGCCUCUGUGAUCCAAUUCUGGUUCCAUCCACCAGAACCUCGGUAGCCACUCCUCUCUCUCGCUCUCUUUUUUUAUGAGCUGCUAUUGUCAGAGUGUAGGAGACCUCUAUUAAUAGACUAAAGAUUUCAUGCUGCCACUGAUUUUUCCAACAGGAACCAGUAAUGAAGCCAACUGGGCUCAGUUGUCCCCUUUUGCAGGGAGAUGUUUUGAGGGUGUGUGUGGCCAUAAUUGGGUUUGGGGGCUGCUAAUACGAUUGGGUUGCCUGGAAAUGCAAAAGCCCCGAGUCCACUCAAUGUCAAGGUGAAGUUAUUUCCAGGUGAUCGAUUGCAGCUUUCCCGACAGUGCCAAGGCCUGGGUCGAGGGGGAGAGAUAGACGGAUUGAACAGGGGAGCCUCUCUCUUUCCAUGGGCCCUCUUGGCUUGGUGGCAGAGGGACCCUUUAUCUUUGGAAGCGCUGGUCCUACCUCCCUGCUUCCGGGCAGCUUGCCCAACUAGUGGAGAGUUCCCAGUGAACUGGGAGGGCUCUGCUGCUUCACUUUGACUCAUUUUGGCAAAAAAUUGCUCACCUCUUACUGGGUUAUAUAGAGGACAUGAAACAAGGGUCUUCUUUUUUUCUUUUCAAUUAGGAAGUUGAGAUAUGCUUGUUCUGACAAUUCCAAUGAUAAGUGGGAAGGUCACUCUCCCCCCCUUUCAACCUCCCCAGAGGUAUCUGAGGUUGAGUCCAUAUUAUGGGGCUGCUCUAUAAGUUCUGUGCUUCUACAAACAAAUUCACAGAUGUUGGACUUUUACAGGAAGAAAAUUGGAAUGAUAGGACAUAUAUUCUGCCCCCCCAUAAACCAUAUAAGAAACAUCUCUAGGUUCAUACAUAUAAAUGUAACUUAUUUCUUUGUAUACCUGCCUAACCGUUCAUGAGCAUAAUAUACAUAAUGCAUUGAAUCACUCCUCUUCUGGUCUAUGUUCAGCUUUUUUUCUAUGGUUUUUCUUUUUUCUGCUUUUUUUCCUCUCAGCUACUCUUUCUGGGAGUGUGGUGGGGUUAAGAGGGGGCUUUGGGAGUAGACAGAACUGGGUUUGAAUUCCACUUCUGCCAUUUAGUGAGUGACCCUCGGGACCUUCUUUAAACCCUUCUAGCUUUAAUGCUUUCUUUCAACUGCAAAAUGGCGGCAGCCACAGCUCACAGUGACAGGGUGAGGAUUGGUGGAGAUGAUGUGCGCUGGGUCUCUAUAAGACAGAAUUAUAGUUAACCUAAUGGUGACUUGGAGUUUGGAAGUCCUCCUCCAUCUUGCCAGAAUUCUCACUGUUGUACAUUAAGGAUAGUUCUCUACAGGGCCUGGGGCUCUAGGAAGAAGUCACUGGAGAAAUGUUCAUCCAGCUUCACCUGAGUCUACAUCCUCUGCAGAAACAGGGACAGCCUCCUCAGAGGGGGUGGAUCCUGGAGGUGUCCUGAGGCCACCUUAGGAAGGAGGUGGGUCUCCUCUCUCUGCUUAUUAAGUGAACAGCCCACCUUUGAAGGGCUCUAUUUGUCCUAUGUGGGGGAGGGUUGUGUUCAGAGAAGUGGAGGAGGCCACUUGGUGGAGGGGUCUCAUGCAAGGUCCUUAUACACGGACCCUCUCCAGUUUAGUCAUGUUCAGGAACCUUGUGUUCUUGCCGUGCACCUGGUAGGCUUCAGCUAGUACCACCACCCGAGUGCCCAGAGCCACUGGCUCUUGUCCGUGAGGGCUGUUUGCCUGGAUUCUCUGGGAUUAUCACUCAAGCCCUCGAGUGCCAUGAAGCUCACCUUGCUCCCCAGCCCUCCUAGGCAGAGCUGCUUCUUACCACACCCACUUUCACCAGCUGGCAUCUCCCAUCCACCCAGAUACUGUCAUGGAGAUUUGACAGAGUGGCUUCACUAGGGUCCAGGGGCAAGGUGGGCAAUCCCACUGAAGUCUUUCCUCUCUCCCAGGAGUCUCCAGGUCCACUGGGUGAAGGCACUUUUGGUGGCCUCCUUUGUCGUCCCAGCUGACCCUGGGUGUAUGUGCACAUUAGGCCCCUUCAUCAUUUUGCACAGGCUGAGCUACGUGCUCAGAGUUUUCCAGAUCAAUGGUCCAAACAGUGGUCCCCAGACUGGCUUCAGACACUGGUUCAUGGUGAAAUGAGAAGAAUAAGAACAGAGUGAUGAGUUUUCAGAAAGCUAAGCAUAUUCCACUUAUGAGGCUGCCCUCGUACACUUUGAGAUUUAGAGAUGACUUUUGGGGCAUUGGAAUGUCCUUUUAAAAAUUAUGGUGGAAAAAAUGGUGGUGGUUCCUUUACAAAUGGACAUAUUUUUAAAUUUUCAACGAUAUUUUAAAGUUAAUUUCUGUGAUUUUUCUGCUUACGAAUCUAUCCAUAUUUUCAAUGAAUGUUAAUGUCUUUUAUGUUGAUUUACAAGAUACAUUAUUCCCGUGCCUCCUCCCUUCCCUUCAUUCCCCUUUGUCUAAUCCAACAAAGUUCUAUGCUCCCUCACCCUUAUUAUGUGUUAGCAUCUGCACAUCAGAGAGAACAUUUGGACUUUGGUCAUUUGGGAUGUUAACACAUAGUAAAGAGGGAGAGGUGGAUAGAAGUUCAUUGGAGUAGACAAAGGGGAGGGAGAUGGGAAGGGAGGGAGAUGGGAAUAGAAAGACAGUGGAAUGAAUUCCUAUGUUCAUAUGUGAAUACAUGAGCAGUGUAACUCCACAUCAUGUACAGCCACAGGAAUGAGAUUCCUAAUUAGAAUACAUUAUAUUCCAUGUAUGUAUAAUAUGUCAAAAUAUACUCUAUUGUCAUGUAUACCUAAAAAUAACAAAUAAAAAAAUUAAAAAACAAGAUACAUUAUAUUAAAAGCAUUACCCCUUAAGAAAAACAUUUGCAAAAAUGUCACAAGCAUCACUAAUUUUACAUCUCGUGUAUGCUAUUUGAUGUAUAGUUUCUAUUUUAUGCAUAUACAGUCAAUUCUUUUCACCACUUUAAUAAUAAAAGCCAUGAAAAUAAAUCUAACUCCAUUCUACAUUUUAUCUCCAAUUCAGACAAUUUGUUUUCACUUAAUGUUUAAUAAGACUUAAAUUUAUUGGCUCCCCCUACCUAUACCCCGGACUGUGACAAAUUUAAAAAGAGGCAACCCUACGUAGGUGGAGUUUCAACUUUUUAGAACUUAAAUUUUCUUUAAAAGACAAGUGACUGGAGACUACCGUUCUGGGUGGCUUCUCUCAGCUGGUUUCAAUGCCUAGGUUCAUUGUUCCUGUCACACUUUAUAGAAACUCCAGAAAGGUCACUGGCACACCUGGGUAUAUUGUCUUUUAUUCCGUGAUCCAUUAAAAACAAACCAAACUAAUACGUCUCCUAGUAACUUCCUUAUUUCUUGAAUCCCUUUGGCUUCACUUUCUCAGCAUACAAACCAGGGUCUUUCCUGAUCCAUUCAUUAGCAUCAAAUCCCCUUGUUCCUUUGAGGUCACAAUGUUCACUCUCAAUAGCUGCUAUUAUAACUCGUGCUUUUCAAUAGUCGCUAAUUCAACAUUAAAACUUCCAAUUACAGCAACGGUUGUCCCCAUUGACUCAGAGUGAUUUGCAUGAAAAGCAGAUGGGGGUGACUUUAGGAGACCCAACCUUAACUUGAUAGUAACCCCAAACCGGUGCCGUCUAUAAUGCCUUUGCUGCCACAGGUAAAUUUGCUGUCAUCUACCCCAUGACUCCCCUGGGUCACAGCACUGCUUUCAUUUUGGAGCAUUUGUUGUUUCCCAUGGGGAUCAUGGGUCUCAAAUAGGGCUGGACAUGCAGAGAGGUCUUGUGGAGCAGCCCCCUUGGGCACCUGGAAAUGCGGAGCGAGCCCUGGGCCUCUGGAGCACUGAGCUCUCAUCCUGGCCAUGAUGUCUAAGCAUGUGACCUGGAGCAAGUCUUGCCUCAUCUUCGGCAUCUGGAAGACAAAUUGGUCAUUCUCCACAUGGAGGUACCCCAUAAACCACCGAGGUGCAAAAUGCUGUUAUUUGGUAGUUAUUUUAUCCUCCAAAGAAUCUGGACAGUGACUGGUGUGAAGCCAGGCCCCCACGUGGCAUGCAUGUUACUGAGGGAAGGGAGGUUCAUCAUCACAGGUGUCCUGACCAGCUCGUUAGCCUGACCAGUUCGUGAGCCUGGCCAGCUGGUUAGCCUUCGGCACAAAGCUACAUUUUGCAGUUUACGUGUGCUCCAUUACAACAUAUCGUGGUCUGGAUCCAGUUACCCUUCGUAAAAUGGAUGAGUAACUUAAAGAUUCCUGUAAGGAAACAGGUGGGCUGAAGAUCACAGUGAUUAUGCAAGGUCAAGGAAACAGCAACAAAAUGGCAGAAUCAACCCUGGUGCUGGGCCUGGAAUAGUCUCCCCGUCAGUAUUCAUUAUGCACUAAAAACAAUGAAGAUAUAAUUGGAUCAGACAAGAAGUUGACUUAAAAUAUCCCAGUUCUCCAAGCUUUAAAAAUAUGGACUUCCUUCCUCUUGUUACCAGCACACUCUGCGUGGUGUGCCCACUGUCUUUAUGAGGUCUCUUCCAGCUCUGACAGUCACUAAGUCACUAAAAGAAAGAAUGAAAAUCAAGGGAACUUUUGAAUUGAUGUAUCAGAAGUUUGAUAGUUGAGGUAUUUGGAUUGAUGUAUCUCAAAGUGUAAUUUCAAGUUUUUUCUUUUUUAAAGGAUGUAAAUUCUACCACAUUGGUCUCACCAAUGACAUAAAUAUGGGCACUGUUAGGUCAGAGUUUUUUUUCCAUUAAAGGAGGAAACUUGAGCAGGGCUUUAUAUUUUACUAGAACUAGUUAGUGUUGAGCUGUUAAAAUGCUGUAUUCAUCUCUCUGCAUGGAAAAAUUUUCACUCUUAGGAUAAUUCUGCCUAACGUCCAGAACACUGCUAACAAGAAAUGCCAUGGCCCACUUACACCCAUAGAGGCCAGCAGGCCUGGGUCGCACCACCAUGCCUUCCUUCCAUAAAACUCUGCAGCUUCUCCAACAGAAGGAUCCACAGUAGGGUAGGUAGGGCUGCUCCCCAGGGCUCCAGGCUGCCACCCAACACCUUGUGGCCACCAGAGCCUGCUGGGUCACAGAGACCAUGCAGAUUGCCCCACAUGGUUCAUCCCAGGACCACCAGAAAGCUAGAGCAGAACAUGCCCAGAGAGAGUGGGGAGGAC